UUGCACGCUGGCGGCAUGCCUUACACAUGCAAGUCGAACGGCAGCACGGGUGCUUGCACCUGGUGGCGAGUGGCGAACGGGUGAGUAAUACAUCGGAACAUGUCCUGUAGUGGGGGAUAGCCCGGCGAAAGCCGGAUUAAUACCGCAUACGAUCUACGGAUGAAAGCGGGGGACCUUCGGGUCUCGCGCUAUAGGGUUGGCCGAUGGCUGAUUAGCUAGUUGGUGGGGUAAAGGCCUACCAAGGCGACGAUCAGUAGCUGGUCUGAGAGGACGACCAGCCACACUGGGACUGAGACACGGCCCAGACUCCUACGGGAGGCAGCAGUGGGGAAUUUUGGACAAUGGGCGAAAGCCUGAUCCAGCAAUGCCGCGUGUGUGAAGAAGGCCUUCGGGUUGUAAAGCACUUUUGUCCGGAAAGAAAUCCUUGGCCCUAAUACGGUCGGGGGAUGACGGUACCGGAAGAAUAAGCACCGGCUAACUACGUG
rnacentral:rRNA from 1 species